GAUACACGAAAAACGGCAGAAAGAAAUAAUGGAGAAAGUCCAUAAGGAAUUGAUGGCUAGCCUUGCAACAAGAGACCAGAAUUUAUACAAGGAAGCCGUAGCAAAGGUCGAGAGACUGAAUGAAAUUAAGAUGCGGGCUUUCAUAGAAACACAGAUACACGAAAAACAGAAGAAAGAAAUGGAGAAAGUCC